CCUACGGGAGGCAGCAGUAAGGAAUCUUCCACAAUGGGCGAAAGCCUGAUGGAGCAACGCCGCGUGCAGGAUGAAGGCCCUCGGGUCGUAAACUGCUUUUAUGAGUGAAGAAUAUGACGGUAACUCAUGAAUAAGGGUCGGCUAACUACGUGCCAGCAGCCGCGGUCAUACGUAGGACCCAAGCGUUAUCCGGGGUGACUGGGCGUAAAGAGUUGCGUAGGUGGCUUGUAAAGCAAAUAGUGAAAUCUGGGGGCUCAACCUCACAGGCUAUUAUUUGAACUCACAAGCUCGAGAACAGCAGAGGUAACUGGAAUUUCUGAAGUAGGGGUAAUAUCCGUAGAUAUCAGAAGGAACACCAAUGGCGUAGGCAGGUUACUGGGCUGUUUCUGACACUGAGGCACGAAAGCGUGGGGAGCGAACCGGAUUAGAUACCCGGGUAGUCCACGCCGUAAACGAUGGAUACUAGCUGUUGGAGGUAUCGACCCCUUCAGUAGCGAAGCUAACGCGUUAAGUAUCCCGCCUGUGGAGUACGGUCGCAAGACUAAAACAUAAAGGAAUUGACGGGGACCCGCACAAGCGGUGGAUUAUGUUCUUUAAUUCGAUGCUAAACGAAGAACCUUACCAGGGUUUGACAUCCCGAGAAUUACUCCGAAAGGAGUGAGUGCUUUAUUGAACUCGGUGACAGAUGUUGCAUGGCCGUCGUCAGCUCGUGUCGUGAGAUGUUUUGGUUAAGUCCAUCAACGAGCGCAACCCUUGUGAUUAGUUGUAUUUUUCUAAUCAGACUGCCCCGGCAACGGGGAAAGAAAGAGAGGGGGAAUGAUGUGUCAGGUCAGUAUUACUCCUUACAUUCUGGGCUAGAACGUAAUACAAUGGCAGGUACAUGCGCAGCGAAAGCCGCGAGGUGAGCAAAUCGCACCAAGCCUGUCCCAAGUUUCGGAUGGAGCUGAAACUCGCCUCCAUGAAGUCGAUCGCUAGUAUCGCAGUCAGCAAACCGCGGUGAUACGUUCCCGGG
rnacentral:rRNA from 1 species